GAUGAACGCUGGCGGCGUGCCUAAUACAUGCAAGUCGAGCGAACAGACGAGGCGCUUGCUCCUCUGACGUUAGCGGCGGACGGGUGAGUAACACGUGGAUAACCUACCUAUAAGACUGGGAUAACUUCGGGAAACCGGAGCUAAUACCGGAUAAUAUAUUGAACCGCAUGGUUCAAUAGUGAAAGACGGUUUUGCUGUCACUUAUAGAUGGAUCCGCGCCGGAUUAGCUAGUUGGUAAGGUAACGGCUUACCAAGGCAACGAUGCGUAGCCGACCUGAGAGGGUGAUCGGCCACACUGGAACUGAGACACCGUCCAGACUCCUACGGGAGGCAGCAGUAGGGAAUCUUCCGCAAUGGGCGAAAGCCUGACGGAGCAACGCCGCGUGAGUGAUGAAGGUCUUCGGAUCGUAAAACUCUGUUAUUAGGGAAGAACAAAUGUGUAAGUAACUAUGCACGUCUUGACGGUACCUAAUCAGAAAGCCACGGCUAACUACGUG
rnacentral:rRNA from 1 species